rnacentral:rRNA from 1 species
AUUGAACGCUGGCGGUAGGCCUAACACAUGCAAGUCGAGCGGAUGAAGGGAGCUUGCUCCUGGAUUCAGCGGCGGACGGGUGAGUAAUGCCUAGGAAUCUGCCUGGUAGUGGGGGAUAACGUCCGGAAACGGGCGCUAAUACCGCAUACGUCCUGAGGGAGAAAGUGGGGGAUCUUCGGACCUCACGCUAUCAGAUGAGCCUAGGUCGGAUUAGCUAGUUGGUGGGGUAAAGGCCUACCAAGGCGACGAUCCGUAACUGGUCUGAGAGGAUGAUCAGUCACACUGGAACUGAAACACGGUCCAGACUCCUACGGGAGGCAGCAGUGGGGAAUAUUGGACAAAGGGCGAAAGCCUGAUCCAGCCAUGCCGCGUGUGUGAAGAAGGUCUUCGGAUUGUAAAGCACUUUAAGUUGGGAGGAAGGGCAGUAAGUUAAUACCUUGCUGUUUUGACGGUACCAACAGAAUAAGCACCGGCUAACUUCGUG